UACGUAGGGUGCGAGCGUUAAUCGGAAUUACUGGGCGUAAAGCGUGCGCAGGCGGUUUUGUAAGCCAGAUGUGAAAUCCCCGGGCUUAACCUGGGAAUGGCAUUUGGGACUGCAAGGCUUGAGUGCGGCAGAGGAGACUGGAAUUCCUGGUGUAGCAGUGAAAUGCGUAGAUAUCAGGAGGAAUACCGAUGGCGAAGGCAGGUCUCUGGGCCGAUACUGACGCUGAGGAGCGAAAGCGUGGGGAGCGAACAGG
rnacentral:rRNA from 1 species